UGUGUGUGAACAUUUUGUUGCUGUGUCAA
rnacentral:piRNA from 1 species